GAUAAACUGAAUCAGGCCAUCAACCACUUCUUACCCAGGACUACCACUCUUCAGCCUCCUCAGUCUGCCCUGGAUAUGUGACCCAGAAAUAUGCAGCAGAUUCCACGAUUAUUCAGGAAGAACAAAGUACAUUUCGAGAGAAAAUGAGCUAUCAAACUUACUUUGACACAACGGAUCCGUAAUCCCAUCGAUAAAGGGUUAGGACAAAGAAGAGAAAGAGAAAAAAUACCUGUUAAU